rnacentral:rRNA from 1 species
UAGUCCACGCCGUAAACGAUGAUAACUAGCUGUCCGGGCUCUUAGAGCUUGGGUGGCGCAGCUAACGCAUUAAGUUAUCCGCCUGGGGAGUACGGCCGCAAGGUUAAAACUCAAAUGAAUUGACGGGGGCCUGCACAAGCGGUGGAGCAUGUGGUUUAAUUCGAAGCAACGCGCAGAACCUUACCAGCGUUUGACAUGUCCGGACGAUUUCCAGAGAUGGAUCUCUUCCCUUCGGGGACUGGAACAC